AUACAAAUCUCAGAAAUUGUGACUUAGAUUGAAAAUUUCAACAUUAAAAAAAAAAUUAACUGCCUAGAAAAUCUGUUUUAAUUUUCCUUCAACUUCCUGAAUGUCAGUUUAGCAUUUAAGGGCGUAACACUCCUAUGCUAUUUAUUUGAAAUCUCUAUGACAGACUGAGUGCUUCCAUUGCAAAUUGUUGUGACUCUGAUGGAUUUACUAUUUGAAUGGAUAUUUAUAUGGACUCGCCAAAGUUUGAGAGUAUUUAUCUUAUUACACUUAUGGUAUUCAUAAAACAAGCAAGCCAUAUAAGACCUUACUUAUUGACAGUCACAAAAUAGUGCUCCAGUAAUAAUAAUCAUUCCAACCCACCAAGAAGAAAGGACAACAUUCAUACCAAUUUAAGUUUGAGUAUAAAUAUUGCCUGAUAUUUAUACAAAAAAAAAAAGAUGGAUGCCUGUGUUGGAUGAGCCAACAUGAACGUGACUUCAUGAUGGAAAAAUGUUGGGUGCCAUGGAGGUACAAAUUGUUAUAUCCUCAUUGAAUAGUAUGGUAAGCAAGCUUCCUUAGGUUUUUCUGUUUCUUGGAUCUACCCUUUCAUCUUCCUUUUUUUUUUUUUUCAUUUUUACCUUUCCCUUCCUGUCUUUGAUGUAAGCUACUGAGUAGUACCAAGAGACUUGGUGUUAUUGACGGAGUGACAGAACUUGGAGACCCUUGUGUAGACAGAAGGAAGUUCUAAUCCUUAGAUGGAAUCUAUAAGAACUUUUCAAAAAUUUUUAAAAAUCACACAACACGUACAAAGGCAUAGACACGCACCCACAUGCCUUUUAAAGAAAGAGCCUCGUGAAUCUGUCAUGCUCUGUGAAUUGAAGAAUUAUAGAUAGCGACAGCUUAGUUCAACUCAUUUCACAGUGGCUGUGCUGGUGUUUGAAGCUGAUGAGAUUUCUCUGCCAAACAGAGAAAGUUAUCCUAGUUUCUAUUCUUCACAGGUCAAAACUGGAAAUACUCUCUUGAGUCCUCAAAAUAAAACACUUAUGUGUGUGUGUGUCACCAUCUGCAUCAACAUGUAAGAAUCAGGUGUAGUUUCUGCAUCAUUAAUUUUACACAUUUGUAUUGUCACUGAAAAGUGCACUCUUGAUUAUAGCUCCCAAGGAGACCCUGCAUGGAUUUUUUGUUUUAUGUUGGAAGACUUAUUUUUUAGUAAUUUUUUGGGGGGGAAGAAAUGAGCUUUUUUUUUAAAAGAAAAAAAAAGCAAUACUCAAAGGAAAAUGAAUUGUUAUAGCAAACUAAAAGAAACGGAAAUAUUAUGAUUUAAUUACUUGUCUUUUUGAAUGCCAUCUCCUGUUUUACCUUUUUUUUUUU
rnacentral:lncRNA from 1 species